CACCCCCCAAGCCUUGCUUGAUGUUGGGCCAUGACGCGCUGUCAAGCCCCAAACCUUUAGGCGCCCCCUACUGGCCGCGAGCGUAGCAAGAAUUUUUUCCCUCGUUCCGCGUGUCCAUUGGGUGGGUCGCCGAUUGACCCCCUAAAUUUUAUAAG
rnacentral:misc_RNA from 1 species